UACGUAGGGCGCAAGCGUUAUCCGGAAUUAUUGGGCGUAAAGAGCUCGUAGGCGGUUUGUCGCGUCUGCCCGUGAAAGUCCGGGGCUCAACUCCCGGAUCUGCGGUGGGACGGGCAGACUAGAGUGAUGUAGGGGAGACUGGAAUUCCUGGUGUAGCGGUGGAAUGCGCAGAUAUCAGGAGGAACACCGGUGGCGAAGGCGGCCGGCUGGGCCGACCCUGACGCUGAGGCGCGAAAGCCCAGGGGAGCG
rnacentral:rRNA from 1 species